GACGAACGCUGGCGGCGUGCCUAACACAUGCAAGUCGAGCGGACGGACGAGGAGCUUGCGGGUCGGAUGAGAGGGGAGGGCGGGAGAGUAACACGUGGAAAACCUACCUGUAAGACUGGGAUAACUUCGGGAAACCGUAGCUAAUCGGGGAGAAUAUUUUGAACCGCAGGGGUCGAAAGUGAGAGACGGUCUUGCUGUCACUUAUAGAUGGAUCCGCGCUGCAUUAGCUAGUUGGUAAGGUAACGGCUUACCAAGGCGACGAUGCGUAGCCGACCUGAGAGGGUGAUCGGCCACACUGGAACUGAGACACGGUCCAGACUCCUACGGGAGGCAGCAGUAGGGAAUCUUCCGCAAUGGGCGAAAGCCUGACGGAGCAACGCCGCGUGAGUGAUGAAGGUCUUCGGAUCGGAAAACUCUGUUAUUAGGGAAGAACAUAUGUGUAAGUAACUGUGCACAUCUUGACGGUACUUAAUCAGAAAGCCCCGGCUAACUACGUG
rnacentral:rRNA from 1 species